CACGACCACGACACGGAGGAGUGUAUUCAACUCCGAGAUGAGAUCGAGGAGCUCAUCAGACGAGGUCGGCUCAACAGAUUCAUCCGACGCCAGCCUGAAGAUAGGAAAGAUCGACCGAGGGCCCUACCACAACCAGAGCCACCAAGAAAGGAAGAACAGCCUGAAGAUCGACCUCCAAUCGGGAUCAUUAACACCCUCUCUAGAGAACCCC
rnacentral:lncRNA from 1 species